GUUCCAGGACAGCCAGGGCUACACAGAGAAACCCUGUCUCCAACAACAAACAAACAAAACAAAGGAAGGCAAGAUGGGUGAGGAACUGAAGAGAUGGCUCAGUGGUUAAGAGUAUGUACUGCUCUUCUAGAAUUUGAUUCCUAGCACCCAUAUUAGGUGACUCACAACAGGCUAUAACAGCAAUUCUAGGCUCUGGGGUGUCUGAUUAUUAUCUUAUGUUUAAUCUUUCAGGAUUCCUAAAGCAAUAGCAAAAUUAUUAUUUAUGAGGGUAUAGUCUGGUUCCCACUAUAGAAUGCAAACUUUCAGGGGACACACACACACACACACACAAUUAAUACGAACCAAAUCUUUUAUUUUAAAGAUAAAAGAAAGCAAAGCCAAUUUUGUUAAAAAGAGUUGGCUGACAGGGGAAGGAGAAAUGGGGUCAUGGCCAGUAAGGAAAAGAAAAUCAAGAAUGUGUUGUUUUGAAAUAGGCUGCCCUGUUUUGAAAUCUCUAUGUAGUGGGAAUGACCUUGAAGUCUUGAUCAUCCAGCCUUCACGUUUCAGUUGCUGGGAUUACAGAUAUGCACUACCACACCCAAUUCAUACAGUAAUAGGUAUUGAACCUGCAGUUUUAUAUGUGCGAGGCAACUACCCCACCAACUGAACAGAACCACACACUCAGUCCUAGUGUGUGUGUAUGUGUGUGUGUAUCUUGGUCUUUCAAGACAGGAUAUGUAGCCCUUGCUGUCCUGGAACUCACUCUGUAGAUCAGCCUGGCCUCAGAUUCAGAGAUCCACCUACCACUACUGGGAUCAAAGUGUGCACCACUACUGCCUGGCUUGUGUGCUUUAAGAUUUAAUCUUUACUAUUGAUUUGUGUGUCUGGGAGUUGGGGGAGAAUGCUUGUGGAGGUCAAGAGAGGACAUCUGACCCCCUGGAAGCAGAGUAAAGUGAGUAACUAGUAAGUGCUGGGAUUCAAACUUGGAUCCUUUGGAAGAGCAGCAAAUGCUCUUAACUGAGACCCUUCUUUCUAGCUGUCAGUUACAGAUUUUCAUGUGAGUUUGUGUGGUGGGGUGUUAUUUUGAGACAGGGUCUCUUUAUGUGGCCCCAGAUAUCUUGGAACUACCUGUGUAGGCCAGGCUGGCCUUGAACUCACAGCUCACAGAGAUCUGCUUGCCUCUGCUUCCAGAGUGCAAUGGUUAAAGGCAUGAUCUCUGUUGCUUUUUUUUUUUUUUUUUUUUAGAAGAAUCUCUCAUCGUCUGGGCUGGCCUUGAACUCACUACAUAGCAGAGACAGUCCUUGUUCUCCUGAGCUUUCUGCCUCUGCCUCCAAAGGCAAGUGCUACAGAUGUGUGCCACUAUACUCAUCUCAGGAGAAUUUUUAACUGAGCCAAACAAUGGCGUGUUUGUAUGCUGAUAUGAAAAGCCCAAUAGAAAAAGGUGAGAGCUGAGUGUAAGAAUGCAGUGUUAGAAUCUCUGCACUAGCUCUCCUUCUUACGGAGAUACCAGCCUGAGCCCUGCUGAGGCAUUGUGAAUCCCCAGCUAACAGACUUCCGGGUGCUGGACUCUUCACCCUGGAAGUGAGUUGACAUCAAAGGCGGUGUUGUUCUCCACUCACUGCCUUCUGCCUAGAACAGCCUGGCUACAGGUGCUGUGACCCUUCCUCCACCCUCAGAAAGUUAUGGAAACUCUCCUAUCAUGGGUCUCUGAGUCCUCCCUUAAGAGACCUGCCAUGCUGUUUCUUCUGUCUGUUCAUGGUGUUGAUAACUUUUCUAAUAAAUUCUUUACUCCCC
ensembl:processed_transcript